rnacentral:rRNA from 1 species
AUUGAACGCUGGCGGCGUGCCUAACACAUGCAAGUCGAGCGGUAACAGGUGUAGCAAUACAUGCUGACGAGCGGCGGACGGGUGAGUAACGCUUGGGAAUCUGCCUAUUAGUGGGGGACGAACCCGGGGAAACGUCGGGCGUAAUACCGCAUACGCACUACGGUGGAAAGCCGGGGACCGCAAGGCCUGGCGCUAACAGAUGAGCCCAAGUCGGAUUAGCUAGUUGGUAGGGUAACGGCCACCAAGGCGACGAUCCGUAACUGGUCUGAGAGGACGACCAGUCACACCGGAACUGAGACACGGUCCGGACUCCUACGGGAGGGCAGCAGU